UACGGAGGGGGCUAGCGUUGUUCGGAAUUACUGGGCGUAAAGCGCACGUAGGCGGCUUGUCACGUCGGAUGUGAAAGCCCGGGGCUUAACUCCGGGUCUGCAUUCGAUACGGGCUGGCUAGAGUGUGGUAGGGGAGAUCGGAAUUCCUGGUGUAGCGGUGAAAUGCGCAGAUAUCAGGAGGAACACCGGUGGCGAAGGCGGAUCUCUGGGCCAUUACUGACGCUGAGGAGCGAAAGCGUGGGGAGCGAACAGG
rnacentral:rRNA from 1 species